rfam:Toxocara canis scaffold1199, whole genome shotgun sequence.
UCAACGGCCCUCUUUAGGGCCACAAGCAAAUAAACCAAAACAGAUCCU